rnacentral:rRNA from 1 species
UACAGAGGUCUCAAGCGUUGUUCGGAUUCAUUGGGCGUAAAGGGUGCGUAGGCGGCGCGGUAAGUCAGGUGUGAAAUCUCGGGGCUCAACCCCCGAAACUGCACUUGAUACUGCGGUGCUAGAGGACUCGAGAGGAGAUUGGAAUUCACGGUGUAGCAGUGAAAUGCGUAGAUAUCGUGAGGAAGACCAGUGGCGAAGGCGGAUCUCUGGAGAGUUCCUGACGCUGAGGCACGAAGGCCAGGGGAGCAAACGGG